rnacentral:rRNA from 1 species
UUGCUCUCUGGGUGGCGAGUGGCGGACGGGUGAGGAAUACAUCGGAAUCUACCUUUUCGUGGGGGAUAACGUAGGGAAACUUACGCUAAUACCGCAUACGACCUACGGGUGAAAGUGGGGGACCGCAAGGCCUCACGCGAUUAGAUGAGCCGAUGUCCGAUUAGCUAGUUGGCGGGGUAAUGGCCCACCAAGGCGACGAUCGGUAGCUGGUCUGAGAGGAUGAUCAGCCACACUGGAACUGAGACACGGUCCAGACUCCUACGGGAGGCAGCAGUGGGGAAUAUUGGACAAUGGGCGCAAGCCUGAUCCAGCCAUACCGCGUGGGUGAAGAAGGCCUUCGGGUUGUAAAGCCCUUUUGUUGGGAAAGAAAUCCUAUCGGUUAAUAACCG